rnacentral:rRNA from 1 species
AACGAACGCUGGCGGCAUGCCUAACACAUGCAAGUCGAACGAAGGCUUCGGCCUUAGUGGCGCACGGGCGAGUAACACGUGGGAACCUGCCUUAUGGUUCGGGAUAACGUCUGGAAACGGACGCUAACACCGGAUGUGCCCUUCGGGGGAAAGUUUACGCCAUGAGAGGGGCCCGCGUCCGAUUAGGUAGUUGGUGGGGUAAUGGCCCACCAAGCCGACGAUCGGUAGCUGGUCUGAGAGGAUGAUCAGCCACACUGGGACUGAGACACGGCCCAGACUCCUACGGGAGGCAGCAGUGGGGAAUAUUGGACAAUGGGGGCAACCCUGAUCCAGCAAUGCCGCGUGAGUGAUGAAGGCCUUAGGGUUGUAAAGCUCUUUCGCACGCGACGAUGAUGACGGUAGCGUGAGAAGAAGCCCCGGCUAACUUCGUGCCAGCAGCCGCCGUAACAC